UACGAAGGGGGGCUAGCGUUGCUCGGAAUCACUGGGCGUAAAGCGCACGUAGGCGGAUUGCUAAGUCAGGGGUGAAAUCCUGGAGCUCAACUCCAGAACUGCCCCUUGAUACUGGCGGUCUCGAGUCCGGGAGAGGUGAGUGGAACUGCGAGUGUAGAGGUGAAAUGCGUAGAUAUCGGAAGGAACAUCAGUGGCGAAAGCGACUUCCUGGACCAGUACCGACGUUCAGGCACGAAAGCGUGGGGAGCAAACAGG
rnacentral:rRNA from 1 species